rnacentral:sRNA from 1 species
AGGCAACGACCCGAAGGGCGAAGCGCGUAGCGCUGAGUCAUCCUUCCCCCACCACCA